rnacentral:misc_RNA from 1 species
GAUGAAGAACGCAGCGAAGUGCGAUAAGUAAUGUGAAUUGCAGAAUUCAGUGAAUCAUCGAAUCUUUGAACGCACCUUGCGCUCCUUGGUAUUCCAAGGAGCAUGCCUGUUUGAGUAUCAUUAAAUUAUCAACUGUGCCAAUUUGGUUACAGAUUGGAUGUGGGAGAUUCUUUUUGCAGGCCUUUGACUUCUCUUUGAGAAAAAAAAUAAAAGGUCGGCUCUCCUGAAAUGUAUUAGCAGUGCCUUUGUUGGUUCAUUAGGUGUGAUAAAUUGUCUACAUCUUCGCAUGAUACCUUCAUUUGUAAAGGUCAUAUUGCUUCUAAAUUGUCUUUGAUUGGACGCAAAACAUAUAUUAUGUUUGACAAACUUGAUCUCAAAUCAGGCAGGACUACCCGCUGAACUUAAGCAUAUCAAUAAGCGGAGGA